UUUCAUUUUAUUUAUUUAACGUUUAUUUAUUUUGAGACAGAGACAGAGCAUAAAUGGGGGAGGGUCAGAGAGAGAGGGAGACACAGAAUUGGAAGCAGGCUCCAGGCUCUGAGCCAUCAGCCCAGAGCCCGACGCGGGGUUCGAACUCACGAACUGUGAGAUCGUGACCUGAGCUGAAGUCGGACGCUUAACCGACUGAGCCACCCAGGCGCCCCUCAAAAUAAACAUUUAAAAAAAAAAAAAAAAAAAGAACAAGUUCUGACAUAGUCCUGGAGAAUCUAGAAGGUCAUGCAUAUGCAUAGGGAUAUGCUCAUGCCCUGUGCCAUUGCCUUUUCAGGAAAGACCUGAAAAGCUCUAAGCUCUCACCACUGGCUAUCUUGAGGCCCUACAGAAGGAGGAAGUGAAGGCUGAGACAGUUGUAGGCUGCAUGGCUGAGUGUUGAAGUCCUGCCCUAACAUACACGGAACCAUUUGUCAAAGGCUGAGAGAUAUUUAAGAUAUCUGUCCAAUCAUUAGAUGAUCACUAAGCUACCCAAGCAAAGACUAAACAGAUCAUGUGUGACACAGAAUACAAACUUCACAGACUUAGUUCGGAAAAGGCAUUACACAGACAGUAAUAAAAAAUACCAAAUUAUAAGGAGGGAAAGUGAUUUCCAAAGUUGGUGGAUUAUUGUCCAGUUUUCAGAAGAAAAUUAUGAAACCUGCAAGAAAAGAAGAAAGCAGGAUUCCUACAUGGAGGUGAGGAACAAUCAAUAGAAACUGUCCCUGGGGAAGCCAAGAUGGUGGCCUUCCUAGACAAACAUUAUAUAUGUUUUUAACUUUAAUUUUAAUUUACUUUAUUAUUUUUUGAUGUUUAUAUUUGAGAGAGCGAGCACAAACUGGGGAGGGGCAGAGAGAGACAGAGACAGAAUCUGAAGCAGGCUCCAGGCUCUGAGGUGUCAGCACAGAACCUGAUGCUGGGCUUGAACCCACAAGCCGUGAGAUCAGUACCUGUGCCGAAGUCAGAUGCUUAACCGACUGAGCCACCCAGGUGCCGCUAGACAAACCUUUUAAAUCAGGUGUUAUGCAUGUAUGUUAAAAGUUGAAAUCAUACUGCAGGAACUAAAAAAGCAAAGCAUGAAAAUGACGUCUCACCAAAUACACAAUAUCAUUAAAGAGACAAAGUUUUUUUUAAAUUUUUUUUUUAACGUUUAUUUUUGAGACAGAGACAGAGCAUGAACGGGGGAGGGUCAGAGAGAGGGAGACACAGAAUCUGAAACAGGCUCCAGGCUCUGAGCUGUCAGCACAGAGCCCGACGCGGGGCUCGAACUCACGGACCGUGCAAGAUCAUGACCUGAGCUGAAGUCGGCUGCCCAACCGACUGAGCCACCCAGGCGCCCCUGACAAAUUGUUUUUUAAUGUUUAUUUUUUGAGAGAGAGAGGGUGCAAGCAGGGGAGGGGCAGAGAGAGAGGGAGAAAGAGGAUCCAAACGGGGUUCCACACUGACAGCAGAGAGCCCAAUGCGGGGCUGGAACUCAUGCACUGUGAGAUCAGGACCUGAGCCAAAGUCAGGUGCUCAACUGACUGAGCCACCCAGGUGCCCCAAGAGACAGAAAUUUCAAAAAAGAACUAAAUGGGAAUUCUGGAGUUGAAAAGCACAGUAACUAACGAAAAAUUCACCAGAGAGGCUCAACAGUAGAUUUGGGCAAAGAGGUGAAGGAAUCAGCAGAUUUGAAGAUCUGUCAAUUGAGAUAAUCCUGUGUGAAAACCAGAAUGAAACCGUGAACAGAGUUUCAGCAACCUGGGACACAAUGACGCAAACCAGUAUUUGCAAAUGGGAGUCCCAGAAGGAGAGGAGGAGAGAGGGAAAGAGACACAAGGACAAGGAAAGUAGGAGAAAUGGGUGAAGGUGGUCAAAAGGGGACAAAUUUCUAGUUAUAAAAUGACUACAUCAGGGGGAUGUAAUGUGCAGCAUGGUGACUGUAGUUAAUGAUGCCGUAUCAUAUAUUUGAAAGCUGCUAAGAGAGUAGAUCUUAAAAGUUCUUAUCAUGGGGAAAAAAACAUACCUGUGUGGUGAUGGAUGCUAACUGGACUUGUGGUCACUUCAGAAUACAGACAGAUAAUUGAAUCAUGUUGUAUGAAUCUAAUAUAAUACCAUAUGCCAAUUAUAGCUCAAUUAAAAAAAGAAUACUGAAAGCAAGAGAGAAAUGACUCACCAUAUGCAAGAGAUCCUCAACAAGAUUAACAGCUGAUUCCUCAUCAGAAACCACAAAGGGCGGGGGCGGUGGGGUGACAUAUUGCAAGUAAUGAAAGAAAAAGAUUAGGGCACCCCAGUUGGAUAAGCAUCUGACUCUUGAUUUCAGCUCAGGUCACGAUCUCACGGUUUGUGAGAUUGAGCCCCGUGUCUGGCUGUGUGCUGACAGUGUGGAGCCUGCUUGGGAUCCUCCCUCUCCCUUUCUCUCUGCCCCUCCCCUGCUCGUGUGCUCUCUCUCAAAAUACAUAUAUAAACAUUAAAGAAAAUUAAAAAAAUUAAAAACUGUGUGUUGGAGAAACUGCAUGUUUAAAAAAUAAAUAAAAAUGAAAGGGGGAACGAAGACAAUUCCAGAUAAAUACUGAAAAAAUGUGUCACUAGCAGAUCUACUUUACAAAAAAUACUAACGGUGUUUUUUCAGGCUGAGAUGAAAAGUGAUCAGAUAGUAACUCAAAUUCACAUGAAGAAAUAAAGAGCACUGGUAAAGACAAAACAAGUGGGUUGAAAGCAAAAGCGUGGAGAUGGCACACUAUGUAAACAGCAGAAGAGCUGGAGGAGCUGUACUAAUAGAAGUAAAAGACUUGCAGAUCAAAAUUGUUCUUAGCAACACUGACAAGUAGUUUCUUAUGCCAAAAGAGUCCAUCUAUCCAAAGGACGUGACCAUUACAAACACAUUUGUACUUAAAAACAGAGCCCCAAAAUACACAAAGUAAGCACUGACAGAACUGAAAGGAGAAAUCUACAACUCAGUGACAACUGGAGAGUUCAGUCUCUCAUUUUCAGUCAUUGAGAGAACCCCCACAGAAGAUCGACAUGGAAACAAGAUGUGAACAACACUAUAAGCCAACUAGACCUAACAGACGCAUACAGAGCGGAAUAAACAGUCUUCUCAAGUGCAUCAAUAGGUCAAAGUCACACGGACCCUUAAAAAAAAUUUUUAAUUUUUUUUUGAGACAGCGAGCGAGUGGGGGAGGUGCAGAGAGGCACACACAGAAUCCGAAGCAGGCUCCAGGCUCCGAACUGUCAGCACAGAGCCCAACAUGGGGCUUGAACUCACGCACCGUGAGCUCAGGACCUGAGCCGAAGUGGGGAGCUCAACCGACUGAGCCACCCAGGCACCCCACAAGGGCAUUUAAAAAUACAUAUGAAUGCCAUGGUUUGUGAGAUGGAGCCUGCAUCAGAGUCUGUUUAGGAUUAUCUCUCUCCCUCUCUCUCUGCCCCUCCCCCCCUCAAAAUAAGUAAAACAUUAAAAAAAUAGAAAAUAAAAAUACAGGUUAAUGACAAUGAAAACACAACAUGCCAAAAUUUACGGGAUGCAGUGAAAGUAGUAAUUACAUGAAGAUUUAUGUCUGUAAUUACAUGUGUUAGAAAACAGAUCUCGAAUAAUCUAAUUCCCCCCCCACUAAGAAACUACAAAAAAGAGCAAUCAAAACCAAAAGCAAGCAGAAGGAAGGGAAUCCUAAAGAUUGGAGUGGAAAUACAUGGAAAUAAAGAAAAACAACAGAAAAAAAAAUCAAAAGUUGGUUGAGAAGAUAAAUAAAAUUGACCAACCUCAACUAGACUGCCAAAGAUAAAUACUCAAAUGUCUAAAAUUAGGAAUGAGAGGACCCAUCACUACCAAUCUUAAAGAAGCAAAAAGGAUUAUAAGGGAAGAAUAUGAAAAAAAUGUAUGUCAGUGAGCUAGACAGCGGAGAUGAAAUGCACAAAUUCUUAAAAGAUGAAAACUACUGACAUCGACUCUAAAAGAAACAGAAAAUGUAAGAGACAUAUAGCAAGUAUGGGGACCUGGGUGGCUCAUCGGUUAAGUGUCUGACUCUUGAUUUUUGGCUCAGGUCAUGAUCUGAUGGUUGUGAGAUUGAGCCCUGCGUCAGGCUCUGCGCUCAGCAUGAAGCCUCCUUUAAGAGUCUCUCUCUCCCUCUGUCCCUCCCCUGCUAGUGUGUGCUCCCUCCCUCUCUCUCUCUCUCAAGAAAGAAAAGACCUACAGCAAGUAAAAAGAAAAAAUUAGUAAUAAGUUCCCACAAACAACAGCCUAGAACCUGGGCACCUGGGGGCCUUGCACUAGCAGGCUUACAGCAAUGCCAGCCAGGCAAGGGGCCAACUCCACCUGACAGUGUGCCCACAGGAGGUGCAGGCCUGCCACAACACAAGGGUGCACGUAGCCUACACAGGGAACACCCAUGGAGCACCUGGCUCUGGUGGCCAGGAGGAAUUGCUCUUCUGGGCCCCACAGGACAUCUAUGUAAGGCCACUCCUUCAAGACAGGGAGGUAAUUGAACUACCUAAUACAUAGAAACAAAUGCAGACAGGGGCACCUGGGUGGCUCAGUCGGUUGAGCGUCCGACUUCCGCUCAGGUCACCAUCUCACACUCCGUGAGUUCAAGCCCCGCGUCAGGCUCUGUGCUGACAGCUCAGAGCCUGGAGCCUGCUUCAGAUUCUGUGUCUCCCCCUCUCUCUGCCCCUCCCCUGCUCAUGCUCUGUCUCUCUCUCUCUGUCUCAAAAAUAAGUAAAAACAUUAAAAAAAAAUUUAAGAAAUGCAGACAGUCGUGCAAAAUGAGACAGAAAUAUGUUUUAAAUCAAAGAACAAGACAAAACCUGAGAAAAAGAACUAAAAAAAAUCAAGAUAGCAAUAUACCCAAUAAAGAGUUCAAAGUAAUGGUCAGAAAGAUGGUUACCAAACUUGGGGAGAAGAAUGGAUAAACACAGUGAGAACUUAAACCAAGAGACAGAAAAUAAAAAAGCAAUCAGAGCUGAAGAAUACAAGAAGGAAAAGGAAAUAUAUACUAGAGGGAAUAAACGUAGACUAGAUGAUACGGAAGAAUGGAUCAGUGAUCUGGAAGACGGUAGUGGAGACCACUUAACUGGGACAGUAAAAAGAAACAAGAAUUAAAAAACAAGAUCAUUUAAGGGGCCUCUGGGACAACAUCAAGUGUACUAACAUUCACAUACUGGGGUCCCAGAAGGAGAGGAGAGAGUAAAAGAGACUGAAAACCUAUUUGAAGAAUUAAGGCUGAAAACUUGCCUAGACCAAGACCUACAAGUCCAGAAAGCACAAAAAAUAAGAUGAACCCAAAGAGACCCACACCAAGACAUGUUAUCAUUAAAAUGUCAAAAAGUAAAGACAGCGGGAAUCUUAAAGCAGCAAGAGAUGGGGCACCUGAGUGGCUCAGUCAGUUAAGCAUCCAACUCUUGGUUUUGGCUCAGGUCGUGAUCUCAUAGUUUGUGGGUUCGAGCCCUGUGCUGCACUCCAUGCUGACAGUGUGGAGCCUGCUUGGGACUCUCUCCCUCUCUUUCUCUCUGCCUCUCCCCUGCUCCUGCUCUCUCUCUCAAAAAUAAACAUUUUUAAAAAAUUUUUAAUAUUUUUAUUUAUUUUUGAGAGAGAGCAAGUGAGCGAGUGUGAGCAGGGGAGGGGCAGAGGGAGAAGAGGAGAGAGAAUCCCAAGCAGGUUACACACUGUGAGCACAGAGCUAGCUGCAGGGCUCAAAUUCACGAACCAUGAGAUCAUGACCUGAGCCGACCCAAGAGUUGGCCACUUAACUGAUUGAGCCACCCGGUGCCCCCAAAAUAAAUAAACUUUAAGAAAUAAUAAAAAAAUAAAAGACAUGAAAAAAAGCAGCAAGAGAAAAGCAAGUAGUAAGGGAACGCUGAUAAGACUAUCAGCUAAUUUUCAGGAGAAACUUUGUAGGUCAGAGGCUCCUGGGUGACUCAGUUGAUUAUAAGCAUCCAACUUCAGCUCAGGUCAUGAUCUCAUGGCUCGUGAGUUUGAACCCCACAUCAGGCUCUUUGCAGUCAGCACGGAGCCUGCUUUGGAUCCAGGACAGAGGAGCCUGGUUUGGCUCUGUCCGUCCCCCUUCUCUGCCCCUCCCUUGCUCAUGCUUGUGUGAACACUCCCUCUCAAAAAUAAACAUUAAAAAAAAAGGAAAAAAAAACUUUGUUGGUCAGAAGGCUGUGGUAUAAUAUAUUCAAAGUGCUGAAAGGGAAAAACAAACCAACAAACAAAACCUUAUGACCAAGAAUACUCUGCCUGGCAAGGUUAUCAUUCAGAGUAUAAGUAGAGGUAAAAGAAUUUCCUGGUCAGUAAAAGCUAGGAGUUCGUCACCAUUAUACUGGCUUCACAAAAAAUAUUAAAGGGAGUUUUUAAAGCAGAAAAGAAAAGACAGUAACUAGAAAUAAGGAAAUAUGAGAAAAAAAACCCCCCUCACUGGUAAAGGCAAACAUAGAAAAAGUAGUGGAACAACCACUUAUAAAAUGGUAAAAAUGUGACAUCAAAACCAUAAAAUGUGUGUGUGUGGGGGAGUGGAGUAAAAAUGUAACUAAAAAACAUUUUUUUUUCCUUAGAGACAGUGUGAGUGGGGGAGGGGCAGAGAGAGAGAGAGAGGGAGACACAGAAUCCGAAGCAGGCUCCAGUCUCUGAGCUGUCAGCACACAGCUUGAUGCAGGGCUUGAACCCACGGACCGUGAGAUCAUGACCUGAGCUAAAGUCCAGUGCUUGACUGACUGAGCUAUCCAGGUGCUCCCAAAAUAUAAUGUUUUUAGAAUGAGUUUGAACUUAACUACCAAUUUACAACAGACUGCUAUACACAGCUUGUUAUAUAUGAAUCUCAUGGUAACCACAAACCCAAAACCUAUAAUAGAUGCACAAAAAAAAAAAAAAACCCAGAAAGGAAUCUAAGCAUAACACUAAGGAAGGUCAUCAAAGCACAAGAAAGCAAGAGAAAAAGCAAUAGAGAAUUGCAAAACCAGCAGAAAAGAAAAUGGCAGUAAAUACAUAGCUAUCAAUAAUCACUACAACUGUAAAUGGACUCAAUGAUCCAGUCAAAAGACACAGGGUAGCUGAAUGGAUUAAACAAAGGAACAAACCCAGGACUCAUCUAUAUGCUGGCUACAAGAGACUCACUUCAGACUUAACAUACAAACUGGAAGUAAAGAGAUGGAAAAAAGAUAA